AACGAACGCUGGCGGCAGGCCUAACACAUGCAAGUCGAGCGCCCCGCAAGGGGAGCGGCGGACGGGUGAGUAACGCGUGGGAAUAUGCCCUUUGCUACGGAAUAGUCUCGGGAAACUGGGGGUAAUACCGUAUACGCCCUUUGGGGGAAAGAUUUAUCGGCGAAGGAUUAGCCCGCGUUGGAUUAGGUAGUUGGUGGGGUAAUGGCCUACCAAGCCGACGAUCCAUAGCUGGUUUGAGAGGAUGAUCAGCCACACUGGGACUGAGACACGGCCCAGACUCGUACGGGAGGGAGCAGUGGGGAAUCUUAGACAAUGGGGGCAACCCUGAUCUAGCCAUGCCGCGUGAGUGAUGGAGGCCUUAGGGUUGUAAAGCUCUUUCAGCUGGGAAGAUAAUGACGGUACCAGCAGAAGAAGCCCCGGCUAACUCCGUG
rnacentral:rRNA from 1 species